rnacentral:rRNA from 1 species
UUCCGACCUGAGCUCAGUUGUGAUUACCUGCUGAACUUAAGCAUAUCAGUAAGCAGAGGAAAAGAAACUAACAGGAUUCC